UUGGUGACUGAUUAUAGGAUGGAUUACUGGAACAAUACAGAGAAGAUUAACAUGGCCCCUGUGCAAGGUUCACCAGUCUUCACUUUCACUUUUCUAACUUUUU
ensembl:snRNA Gm24552 U6 spliceosomal RNA